CGAAGGGCUGGAGGCAAACACCGAGCUCCCCCUGAGUCGCUUGGGAGCAGGGAGGGUUCUGCUACCCUGAGGGGCCCUCCCCGCGGGGCAGAGGGUGGGAGGAACUCACGGCAUGUACUUCUGAAUGUAUGCUUGCCUUGAGGAACAACGACAGGACACAGGGAUGUGGACAUUUUCAAUCAGAUGGUUCUGUCCGACAGUGUCGGCACACAGAGAGCGUUCCACUGACUGACCUCUUUUUGUUUUCAAAUGAAGAGAAGCCAAGAAUAGGACGGCCUAGGAAGGCCAUUCUCUCUGCUUACUGCUUGCUGUUUGAGAUGUGCGUCUUCACACAUUCCUACCGACGUAUCUGACCGAUGCUGCCAAGAUUACCUGAUGGGAUGGAUGCUAAUGCCUCUACAACCAGAAGCCCAAGGUAGCGUGUGAUUAUUCAAUCCAUACAUGCAACGUGCAUAUAUCAAGUCAGCAAGAUUGGCCUUUCUGUCUUAUUGGACAUCUGUCAUGCUUCUGUGUCUGGAGCCUGCAAAGGCCUCUCUUCUAGCUCUUUGUAAAUGUGGAGAAUGGCAGAAAUAUUCAGGAAACCUAAGCCCGACUCUUGAAAAAAAAAUUCAGAUGCUGGCAGAGCCCCAAAAUGGAUAUUGGGAAGCAUUUUGAGAACUACUGUUCACAGAGAGCACAGAGAGAAGCUUCCAGCACUUUGGAGGCAGAGGUCAGGUUAUUGGGAUAGGAGCUCUAACCUGCCCAGGGGGUCAGACCUUGUCAAUCAAAGUCUCAACACAUCCUUGCUGUGGAUACUAAAUCCCACCCUGUUCUCCAAAAAGUGCAGCCAAGAGGUGGAGGGCUUCAUCCCUGACUAAGCCUCCGCUUAGGACACUCUCACGUCCAGAAGGUCAUAAGGGCACCUGGAUAAGACAUCGUGAGUGAACCUCUAUGGCUUCUCCAGUAUUGAAAGCCACAUCAGUUGCACACGUUUCUAAGAGGGUCCGCUGGUGCACGUGUUUAUGAAGAUGUCUCACAAUAUAAAGAGAUUUCAGUUCUUUGUGCCACCCACAUCCUUGAGUAUGUCUCCUGAGACACACGUGGGAGUCUGUCUGGGGUAUAAAUGAGGAUGGACGUUGCCCGAAAUGCAUAUGGGCUUUUGACUUCACCCGGUUGCUUUCGGGACUAUUGUGCACAAUGGCCAAAUGGAGGCUCUCUUUUUCAUUUACCAAUUACUCUUCUUAAAGAAAUACGUGAGGAGGAGCGUUAUGGGUUCCCAAGGUAUGAGAGACUGGUUCUUGCUCUGAAGAAGGUUUCAUUCUCAUCCGAAUGGAGAGACAUUUGCACUUGAAGGCAGCUGUGAUUUGGGAGCCCAGGAUGUGAGGUGUGUGAAGGGGUCCAGCAGAACUUCCAAAUGGAAUAAAGAAGGUCAAAGAGUGUCCAGCCAACCGACGUGUGGACAUCAUUGUGCCAUUUGAGCUGAAUAGAUUCUGUGCUAUUUAUUGUCCAUUUAGCCUCUGUUGGUUUCUUGUGACUGCUGUAACAAAUUAGCACAAACUGGUUGACUUAAAACAACAGAAUUUUAUUUUCUUCCAGUUUUUAGAGGCCACAAGUCUGAAAUGAAGGUUUGGGCAGGGUCUGAGUCUCUUGAGGCCUGGAGAGGGGGGUGAUCUGUCUCUUGUUUCUUCCAGUUAGUGAUAGCCUCAGGCUUUCUUUGGCUCCUGGCCACUCCCGUCCAAUCUGUUUCUGUGGUCACAUUGACUCCUCCAAUGUUGUAAAACUCCCCCUGCUACUCCCUGUAGGAAUGUGUGCCACUGAAGUAAGGACCCACCCAGAAUGUGGGCUAAGCCUCCCCUCUCAUGACCCUCAACUGAAAUCACAGCUUUUGCCAUGGAAUGCAGAGAUGAAUCCUGGGGCAGCAGCGAGUGUGAGAGGAGAAGGGAAGCAGAAUAAGACAAGGUGUUCUGCCAGAGGGAGCUUGAGUAUCCACGGAAAGACGGAAUGCCUGCACAAGUGGCUUCGCAGAACAGUAAUGUGCUACAGGAUGAAGCCAUGCCUCAAUAGGAAGGUUCUUGGAUGCUGUAAGAAGGGACCGACGGGACUGGAGAGAUGGCCCAUGGUUAAGAACACUGGCUGUUGUUCCAGGGGAUCCAGGUUGAAUUCCCAGCACCUACAUGGCAGCUCACAACUGUCUGUCACUCCAAUUCCAGAGGAUACGGCCACCCUCACACAGACAUACAUUACGAUGGUCACGUGAGGAUCCAGACACACAAGGAGAACACCAUGUGAAGAUGGAUACUGAAUUGAAGUGCUGCCGUUGUGAGCCUUGGAAUGCCCCUGGCUGAAAAGGAAAUGUCUGAGCUACUGAAGGGAGAUAAAGUUGCAUGCUGGUUAAAUGGCUUCUAGCUGUGAGUGCAAACAUGGAAAUGUACUGAGCCAUUGCAAUGAGGAAGCUGCUUCUCGAACCUAAGAAGGCUGCAGCAGAGCUGCGGGCAAGUUCCUGAAGCAGCUGAGGUCAUUCACCCUUCUCGCUGGCUCAGGCCCGGCCUUCAGCAAGAUUAAGAUUUGGAUUUGGAAAACCUGAGUGACACAUCAAGACAAAAACAAUGUGAUAAGAAAUUUUCUUUCUCCUCUUGUUUUCCCUGUGUCUGGAGUUUCUUCAAGAACAUGAAAUGAGAGAGAAAACCAUAACUUAAAGGUAUUGAGAUAUGAGAACAUUUUGAGAAGGCACUUGGGUGGCGCUCUGUCUGUAACUGAACCUUGCCUGUGCUUGGCUGGCACUCCCUUUACAGCACGCAGAGUCUUGAGGUCCAAAGCCCCUCUUCCUGCAAAAUGGUUAUCCUGGUGGCAUUGCUCUAAAUAGAAGGACUUAGGUAGGGUAAACAGGAGGAUUGUGAGCAAGCCUUAAGGUUUCUGAUCACUAGAAAAGCAGAUCUUUUAAGAGGGUUUACCAGGAACCUCAGCCUUUAACCUUUCCUGCAAAGGUCAGCUACCACAGGCAUGGGCAUCUAGUUCCUGCUCAGUCCUGAUGGCCUGUAUCAGCUCAAGUCCCCACCCCGAUGACUGUCAUAUCUGCUUGGUUUCCCACCAUUUUGCUUUUCUCUCUACCUUGGCAGUUUGAGCCCCAGUGAAUCUUUCUUUCUGCCCAUAGACCAGUCUAGUUCAGUAAUUUCUCUGCCCCGAGUCUCAGGUAUUAAUCUGCGAGGACGGCCUCCAUCUGGGGACUUUUUUCUGUUCUCAGUGAAGUGGCACAUUCAGUUCCUGGUGCAGCGUCCGUUCGUUUCUUUUAGUCAUUUCACAGCUGUUUGCUGGGAGGAGCAAGACUGAACUACUUGGGGCUGAUUUCACAAGGAAGCUGAAAACAAGGCCUUCCCAGUUCCCGUUUGUGAUUUUCAAGUCAAUAAAGCAUGUCUGUCUUGGUGGAUGUUUCUCUCUAACUGGCUUCAGUUGUCUGCUGAGCUGUCUACCUGGCUUCCCCUUGGCUGGGAAACCUCGGUUUGUGGCCAUCCUGUUACAGGUGGAUGGCUGCCCGGCUGCCCACCGUUGUUUGUUAUUAAAUUGGUGAUGCAAUUUCUGUUUGGCAGUUUGUGACUGCAAGGUUAUUCAAGGAUGCUGUUUAGAAAUACAAGUGAGCUACAGAACGAGAUGUCGGAGCGGAUGGUCGGUUUGUUAUGUUUUUUUCUUUUUUUUUUUAAGGCUGUUCAGGGACAGUAGACGAAUGCACAAAUUUGUUAUUGUGGAUUGUUAUGAAUCCCAAAGACGCACAUACGGGGAUCAUUAUUGUAGAUUGGCUUGUGACAGCUGGCCCUGAUUUACUUAUUUCCUCAAGAAGACACUUUGAACAAUUAUUGAAAUGCCUCCCCUCUGUAAUUAUAAUAAUAAUGAUGAUGAUUUUGCAACUGAAUAUGCAAUUCAGGGCGUACACACUCAACUGUUUUUAGCUUGUUUCUCUUUUUACAUUGAUGUCAGCUGCUGUCUUGGCUUGUGAAGAGCUGAGAAGGACUUUCCAACCAAGGGUCAAUGAGCUACAUGAAGAGUCAUCUGUGGCCAACCCGGGAAAUUACUAAAAUAAUAAUUUUAGUAAUAUACAUUACAAUACAAUAAUAUUACAGUUAGUAUGUAAGGAGCAAGCUAACUAUGGGCAGGGUUCUUUUUUCUCCUUUUU
rnacentral:lncRNA from 1 species